GCAUCGAUGAAGAACGCAGCCAAAUGCGAUAUCUAGUGCGAAUUGCAUGAAUCUGUGAGUCAUCUAGUAUUUGAACGCAACUUGCGCCGAUUCCUCGGCAUGUUCCGGUGAGGGUUGGUUGAAAUAUGGAUUAUAUUCGAUAUGGCUGUCUGUGUAUGGGAGUGCAAGCUCCUGUACACUCGGUCUAAUUAAAGCAAGAACUGGAGGGUUCUAGAGAGCCGAGUGCCAAGCAUUCUUGGGUCUCUAUGACCCACCAACUACACGCUCACUACACAACCUCAUCUGGAGCAGGACUACCCGCUGAACUUAAGCAUAUCAAUAAGCGGAGGA
rnacentral:rRNA from 1 species